AUUGAACGCUGGCGGCAGGCCUAACACAUGCAAGUCGAACGAGUGGCGGACGGGUGAGUAAUGUCUGGGAAACUGCCCGAUGGAGGGGGAUAACUACUGGAAACGGUAGCUAAUACCGCAUACCAUCGGAUGUGCCCAGUUGGGAUUAGCUAGUAGGUGGGGUAACGGCUCACCUAGGCGACGAUCCCUAGCUGGUCUGAGAGGAUGACCAGCCAAACUGGAACUGAGACACGGCCCAGACUCCUAGGGGAGGAAGGAGGGGGGAAUAUGGAACAAUGGGCGCAAGCCUGAUGCAGCCAGGCCGGGUGUAUGAAGAAGGCUUUCGGGUUGUAAAGUACUUUAAGCGAGGAGGCGUUACUCGCAGAAGAAGCACCGGCUAACUCCGUGCCAGCCGCCGCGGUAAUC
rnacentral:rRNA from 1 species